CUAAUUGAUAAUAUUCAUGUAAUAAUCUUGUUUUGUAACACCCUAAAUCACUGAGCGCACAAACGCUACCCCUGUUACAAGCAUGAGUGAUUGACUUCAGGCACACAUGCGCAAACAUUGAAGUACCGCGAGAGUGAUUCAAAAGCCCACGAAACAGUGUAAUCACGCGGUACUGUGAUGUCAUACUGGUUAAGGCUAAGCCACGUGAAGCCUGACACAAGGGCUACACUAAUCUUUGGGCUGGAGUAGCCUGUGGCUUCGUGUCUCAUCGCGUUAAACGAUCGCAGAACGAUUUAUUUCUCUUUUUCACCUCGAUCUUUGGCCUCGUGUGAUUUACCAAAACCAACAUGUGAAGUUACAACGCUGACGAAGGAGUUUCAUCAGUAGAGUGUGUCCUGGAAAACGUGUGCUCGGAAACAUGCAGAAUACAGUAUUUACAGAGCCGACCUUGAGGCACCCACUGAUGGAUAAUCUGUUUACCUAAAAACAGCCCACCACAAUCCAUGUUUACCAGCUGUGAAAGUGCAGGCCAAAAAUCUUCCUUCACCUGUGGGCCUCUACCCACAUGUAGAUAAGCAUUUCAGGAGAAACCUGCCUGUGAUCUGCUAAGAUGCACAGAUUCAACUUUGGCCCAUUGUCAUCCCAACACCUCAUCUGCCAUCAGUUUCGUUUAGUGUCGGUCUAUUGCAAAAGUUCUUAUAAACUUUAAAUGAGACUUUGUGUUAAGCAGGGGUUUCCAAACUUUUCAUUCCACAACAUAUUAAGCCCAGGAUACACAGCAGGAUUUUUGCAAUCCAAUAAGACCUUAUCACACUGUGUGACAAGGAUUGUUUAAACUUCAGCAGUAGACUGUCGAUGAAGACACCUAUUGCAUCUGAAGCUGCGACAUCUGUCAUCAACAUGCGCCAGUGGUACACAAAUACAGGUAUUCAGGUCGUAGAAGCAAACACAUUGUUGAUGUGCGUUGAUCAUGCUGAACUUCUUACACUGUCAUAAAACUAUCGUAGGUGUCUUUGGUCCCAGGACUGGGAAAACAGACGUCUUUAAACCUCUCACACUGUAUGAGAUAGGACCACCAAUUAAGAGCCACGAUCACAGAAAUCUCCACAAUUGUUUCACGAUUGGUAAUCUUUCAUCUGGGACAGCCAAAAAUCGUGCCAUGUAUUAUGGGCUUUAGACAGGUGUAAUCUUAUAGUAUAUCAAAACCAUUGCUAAUAAUUAAUUGGACAAACCAUUACUACAAUGCAACACUCACUAUCUUACGGUGCGACCCACAAGUGGGUCUUCACCCACAGUUUAAAAACCCUGAGUAUGAGAAAGAGUAUGUUGUAUUGUAAUUAAAGUCACAUCUAAGUGUUAUGGAACAGUUUGUCAUUAUAUUCACAGUAUUACAUGGUUCUUUCAGCGGUUACUACGUUACAGUGCUCUUAAAGUGUCCUGAUCAGCUUUGGGUCUUGUGAAGUAAUGUAAUGAGAACGUGAUCAAUAGCUUUGCAGUAUUUUGUUACACUGUGGCUGUAAUCAUAUUAACACAUAGGUUAAACAUUUUAUUCAAAUUUGGUAAACAAACUAGUCAAUAUAAUUCAUGCUGUGAUGCUGGAUUAAACCUGGUCAAAUGAU